rnacentral:rRNA from 1 species
CAGCCCUAAACGAUGCGCGUUAGGUGUAUCGGUGACCACGAGUCACCGAGGUGCCGAAGGGAAACCGUGAAACGUGCCGCCUGGGAAGUACGGCCGCAAGGCUGAAACUUAAAGGAAUUGGCGGGGGAGCACCACAAGAGGUGGAGGCUGCGGUUCAAUUGGACUCAACGCCGGAAAACUCAUCGGGAGCGACAGCAAUAUGUAGGUCAAGCUAAAGACUUUACCAGAAUCGCUGAGAGGAGGUGCAUGGCGUAGUCGUGU